ensembl:lncRNA
AUGUCUACCCGGAGAUUGGAGACCUUGGACAGCUGGAGGAUCCAAGAUAACCUCCCUCCUCCUGUCUGGAUUCGCAGAAUAAAACCUUGUCAAAACAACAAAGGAAAAGUGGCCGGACUUCAGUUUAAGCUUUUUGAGCUCCCAAGAGGAUGUAAAGGGCACAAGGUCACCUUUAUUGAACUGUUUUCCUGUUGGCCAUCCCUUCUGGGCCCCAAGUUCUGCAUUUGCAGCAUCUGGCACAGUGCUGGGCACAUCCUGAGCUUGAGAAAAGGAACCUGGGCAGGAGGAGAUAAGCCAAUAUAUCUGCCUGUUGAGCCUACAGUUAAAAAUAAUUAUAGAGAACAUGGUGAUGCUUCAGAAACUGUCAGGAUCUUUACUCUUUGUCCAGGAAGCCCUGAACUGUCAUUGGAAAUAAGAUGCCAGAACCACAGAUGUCCUUAG